rnacentral:rRNA from 1 species
CCUACGGGGGGCUGCAGUGGGGAAUAUUGCACAAUGGGCGCAAGCCUGAUGUAGCCAUGCCGCGUGUGUGAAGAAGGCCUUCGGGUUGUAAAGCACUUUCAGCGGGGAGGAAGGCGUUAAGGUUAAUAACCUUGGCGAUUGACGUUACCCGCAGAAGAAGCACCGGCUAACUCCGUGCCAGCAGCCGCGGUAAUACGGAGGGUGCAAGCGUUAAUCGGAAUUACUGGGCGUAAAGCGCACGCAGGCGGUCUGUCAAGUCGGAUGUGAAAUCCCCGGGCUCAACCUGGGAACUGCAUUCGAAACUGGCAGGCUAGAGUCUUGUAGAGGGGGGUAGAAUUCCAGGUGUAGCGGUGAAAUGCGUAGAGAUCUGGAGGAAUACCGGUGGCGAAGGCGGCCCCCUGGACAAAGACUGACGCUCAGGUGCGAAAGCGUGGGGAGCAAACAGGAUUAGAUACCCGGGUAGUC